UGAGGAAUAUUGGGCAAUGCCCGCAAGGGUGACCCAGCAACGCCGCGUGGAGGAUGAAUGUCGUAAGAUUGUAAACUCCUGUUAGAGGGGAAGAAUAGUACCGGUUGGACCGGUAUAUGACUGUACCCUCAGAGAAAGCCCCGGCUAACUACGUGCCAGCAGCCGCGGUAAUACGUAGGGGGCAAGCGUUGUCCGGAUUUACUGGGUGUAAAGGGCGCGCAGGCGGGAUAAAAAGUCAGUGGUGAAAUCCUACAGCUUAACUGUAGAACUGCCUGUGAUACUUUUAUUCUUGAGUUCGGGAGAGAGAGACGGAAUUCCAGGUGUAGUGGUGAAAUACGUAGAUAUCUGGAAGAACACCAGUUGCGAAGGCGGUCUCUUGGUCCGACACUGACGCUGAGGCGCGAAAGCGUGGGGAGCAAACA
rnacentral:rRNA from 1 species